rnacentral:rRNA from 1 species
AUUGAACGCUGGCGGCAGGCCUAACACAUGCAAGUCGAGCGGAUGAGAGGAGCUUGCUUCUCGAUUCAGCGGCGGACGGGUGAGUAAUGCCUAGGAAUCUGCCUGGUAGUGGGGGACAACGUUUCGAAAGGAACGCUAAUACCGCAUACGUCCUACGGGAGAAAGCAGGGGACCUUCGGGCCUUGCGCUAUCAGAUGAGCCUAGGUCGGAUUAGCUAGUUGGUGAGGUAAUGGCUCACCGAGGCGACGAUCCGUAACUGGUCUGAGAGGAUGAUCAGUCAAACUGGAACUGAGACACGGUCCAGACUCCUACGGGAGUCAGCAGUGGGGAAUAUUGGACAACGGGCGAAAGCCUGAUCCAGCCAUGCCGCGUGUGUGAAGAAGGUCUUCGGAUUGUAAAGCACUUUAAGUUGGGAGGAAGGGUUGUAGAUUAAUACUCUGCAAUUUUGACGUUACCGACAGAAUAAGCACCGGCUAACUCUGUGCCAGCCGCCGCGGUAA